ensembl:lncRNA
GUUUUCUUAGCUCUUUACAUAUCUUACUCAGCUCCUUCAAUUGUUUCUCUCUCUCCUUCCAUUUUUCUUUUUUCUUCUUAUCCUCCCUCCAUUCUUUUUCUCUUAACAUCAUUAACUUCAACUCCUCCUUUUUUUUUCUUCUUUUUUCUUUUUGAUCUUUUUUUGUUCCUCCUCUCCCAUCUGUAUCCAUUUUUUAGCUAUUCUUUAACAAAAAAACUAACUUUUUGUUUAUCUCCUUCAUUUGCUUAUCUUCCUCCCUCUAUUGUUCUUAUAGCUCCUUAUAUUUCAUCCUUCAUUCCUUUUCUCUCCACUUCCUUAACCUUACCUUGUCCUUCAGGCUAUUUCUCAUCCUCUCCUCCAUCACCUCCUCCUCUGCCGCCUUCUCAUUCGCCUCCUCCUCCGCUGCCACCUCCUCCACUGCCGCCUCCUCCACUGCUGCCUCCUCCACUGCUGCCUCCUCCACUGCUGCCUCCUCCGUCUCUGCUGCCUCCUAUUCGUCCACCUCGUCCUCCUUUGCCUCCUCCUCCUUCAACUCCUCCUCCUCUGCCGCCCUCCUUCGCGGCCGCCUCCUCCUCCACCUUCGCCUUGUCCGGCUUCUCCUCCUCCUCCGCCACUGCCGCCGCCUCCUCCGCAGCCGCCUCCCCCACGGCCACCUCCCCCACGGCCGCCGCCUCCUCCACCUUCGCCUUGUCCGGCGCCUCCUCCUCUGCCGCCGUCGCCUCCUCCAGCUCCUCCACCUUUGCCUUGUCCGGCUCCUCCUUCUCCGCCGCUGCCUCCGCCUCUGCCUCCGCCUCUGCCUCCGCCUCUGCCGCCGCCUCCUCCUCCUCCAGCUCCUCCACCUUCGCCUUGUCCGGCUCCUCGUCCUCUUCCGCCACUGCCGCCGCCUCCUCCGCAGCCGCCUCUUUCGCGGCCACCUCCCCCAUGGCCACCUCCCCCACGGCCGCCGCCUCCUCCACCUUUGCCUUGUCCGGCUCCUCCGCCGCCGCUGCCUCCUCCUCCGCUGCCACCUCCUUCAGCUCCUCCACUUUCGCCUUGUCCGGCUCCUCCUCCUCCUUCACCUCCUCCUUCUCCUCUGCCGCCUUGUUUGCCUCCUCCUCCUCCACCUUGUUUACUUCUUUUUCCUCCACUCCUGCUUCUCCUUUGUCCACUGCCUCCUACCCCUCCUCUGGCGAACAAGGCGACGAAGGAGAAGGAGGAGGCAGCUCCUCCUCCUCUGCCAGUGCCGGAAGAAGAGGGAAACAAGGCAGCGUAGGAAGAGGAGCCUCUGCAACUGCCUUGCUCCCUUGUCUUUGUCCAGCUUUUCUUCCGCCGCCUUGUCCGCCUCCUCCGUCGCCUUGUCUGCCGCCUCGUGUGCCGCCUCUUCCUCCUUCUCCUCCACCGCCUUGUACACCUCCUCCUCCGCCUUGUUCACCUCCUUCUCCUCCUCCGCUGCCUCCUCCUCUGCCGCCUCCUCCUCUGCCGCCUCCUCCUCGUCCGCCACCUCCUCCACCACCUCCUCCUUCGCCUUGUCCUCCUCUGCAACCUCCUCCUUUGUCACUGCCUUGUCCUCCUCCGCCUUCACGUCUUCCACCUUCACCUCAGCCUUCUUCAUCGCCGUCUCCUUCUCAGCCUUCACCUUCUCCUCCACCUUCUGCUCAACCUUCACCUUCUCCUGCACUUCCUCCUUACCUUUCUCUUUAG